UGGGCGUGGCCGGGGAGGGCGAGGCGGGGGCUGGACUACGGACAUGCGCAUUGAGUGCGCUCCCAACCUGACUACGGUUGCUGGCUGCCUGGUACCUGGGAAGCAGAUCUGUGGGCUAUGCGGCUGUCCUGCUGUGUGACGCUGUGGCGGGACCAGCGUUGCUGGGGCAAACAAAUAGCACAGUACUAGCCAUGCAGUGGAACUGAGGAAACUUACUGAAUGAAGGACUAGAUGGCAAGUGAAUUCUCAAACUCUCUCAGAUGGCAGUGAAGUCAGAAUUGCUAUCUAGGUCUCUUGGCGUUACCCAGGGCUUUGGAGGACUCACUGGAUCCUAGGGACUGUCAAAUGCUCAAAUGUUCCGGCCUGCUAGGUGGCUUCAUCGAGGAGAAACUGAAUGAUUGCCUCCAUAAGGAAGGCUGGAUCUCGCCCCCUGACUUAUUGCAGACCCAUCAUUCUGCCUUUAGGCAUGUUGCUCUAAACUCUGCCUUCAGCCUUUCAGGAACUGAAGUUGUGAAACAAGAAACUAAUACUGACAAUAAGAUCAUCUUCAAAUAAAAGUUACUUGGUAAAUGUGUGGCUAACAGGGCUAGCCAGCAGAACAAGGGCCUGAGGGAGAGAAGGAGAAUGUAGAAAUCCAAAUUGUCAUGUAGUCCAUGGCAACAGGGGAAGAUAAACACAAGAACGCAAAGCAAAGUGACACAGAAGGCAGGUGGUGGUGAUGCAUCCACUGGACCAAGUUACAAAUAGGCACAAAGACGGAAAUAUCUAAGCUUUGACAUAAGGGCAUUGCUUUCCCUUUUAGCUUGCAUGAGCAAACUGUGCAAAACUAUAUAUUCACUGUGAGGAUCAAUAUUAUCCAUAUAGCAUUAGGCAGGUCUCCAUGGGAACAGAAGGACCAAUGAUUCCAUUCUAGAAAUUUAUCUGUCUAGAAUAUCAUGGUGGUGUGCAGAAAAGA
rnacentral:lncRNA from 1 species